UUGAUCCUGGCUCAGAACGAACGCUGGCGGCGUGGUUGACACAUGCAAGUCGAGCGGGAACGUCCCUUCGGGGAACCAGUACAGCGGCAGACGGGUGAGUAACGCGUGAUCAAUCUGCCCUUGGGAGAGGAAUAGCCAUUCGAAAGAGUGAGUAAUACCUCAUAAGACUACAGCAUCGCAUGGUGCAGUGGUAAAAAGGUUGGGAUCUUCGGACCUUCCGCCCAAGGAUGAGAUCGCGUCCUAUUAGCUUGUUGGUGAGGUAACGGCUCACCAAGGCAGCGAUGGGUAGCCGGCCUUAGCGGGUGGACGGCCACACUGGAACUGGGACACGGUCCAGACUCCUACGGGAGGCUGCAGUGCUGAAUUAUUCGCCAAUGCGCGAAAGCGUGACGGUGCGACGCCGCGUGCGGGACGAAGGCCCUAGGGUCGUAAACCGCUGUCAGGGCUUCGGAAACCGUAGAGGUUAAUAGCCUCUGCGCUGACCAGGCCCAAAGGAAGCACAGGCUAAUCUCGUGCCAGCAGCCGCGGUACUACGAGAUGUGCGAGCGUUGUUCGGAAUUACUGGGCAUACCGGGUGCGCAGGCGGCCAUGUAAGUCAGGUGUGAAAUCCCUCGGCUCACCCGCGGAAUUGCAUCUGA
rnacentral:rRNA from 1 species